GGAGAUAUCACGCACUUCUCCCGCCUCGAAGGGAUCCAGAUUUAGUCAAAUGAACGUCAGAUAAACAUUUCCGUAGCAGUUUUUCAACACAAAACACACAUACACUUUAUUUGAGAGAGCUAUUUUUUUAAACUUUUCCAGCUGGAAAACAUUCCACAAUGUAUAGACACAUAGAUGACAUUUGUGCCAUGUAAUUUGGAGACCUGCCUAUUGAACCGCAUACUGAAAUGUUCCUGUUGGUAAAUUACGUGAUAAAGCAGGUGCUUAGGAUGAAAGAAUGAUCAAAACAAACUCUGAACCAAUUAUAUUAAUUUGGGGACAGGUCGAAAAGCAUUAUAUUAGGCCCAGCCUUUGAAACUUUGGUUUUCCUAGAUAUGGCUAUUAUAUUGUGAUCACUACAUCCUAUGGAUCUGGAUACGGCUUUAAAGCACAUUUCUGCAGCAUUAGUAAAGAUGUGAUCAAUACAUGUUUAUGAUUUCAUUCCUGUGCUGUUUGUAACUACCCUGGUAGGUUGACUGACAACCUGAUCCAGAUUGCAGGCACUGGUUAAAAUUUGAUGUUUUUUCUUGAGUGGGCAGCUUGAUGAGAGCCAGUCAAUAUUUAAAUCACCCAGAAAAUAUACUUCUCUGAUAUCACAUACAUUAUAAAGCAUUUCACAUAUAUUAUCCAGAUACUAACUGUUAGCACUUGGUUGUCUAUAGCAGCUUUCCACCAGAAUGGGCUUUAGGUGAGGCAGAUUAACCUGUAUCUAUAUUACUCCAACAGUAUUUAACAGUAUUUAACAUUAUAUCGUCUCUAAGCGUUACAGGAAUGUGGUUCUGAAUAUAGACCGCAACACCGCCUCCGUUGGCAUUUCUGUCUUUUCGGGAAAUGUUAUAACCAUGUAUUGCUUCCACUGUAUCAUCAAAGGUAUUAUCUCAGUGAGUUUCAGAGAUAGUCAGAAUAUGAAUGUCCUCUGUUAAUAGCAAGUUAUUGACUUCAUGGACCUUGUUUCUGAUGUUUCUUAUAUGUUAAUAUGAGCUUUUUUUAGCACCUUUCUGGUUUGCUUUAUUGAUUUUAAUGCUUUACUGGGAAGCAUAUUAGAAGUAGACUCGUUCAUGUUAUUUACAUUGGAGCUGAUAGUGCAGGGUGAGCUGUACAAAGUGGUCUUCCUACUAGGGCACAACGCUUCAGUGCUAACAGUAUUACUCUGGUUCAUAGGCUCAUGAUUACUGCAUACAAUAGCUGUAGGAUAAACAGAGGUAUUCGGUGCAAUUAGGGUCACAUAAAUUAAGUGACUUACAUUGUGUUUGCCAAUGCCCCUGGGAUCAUGUACAUUUGAUGCAGCAUUAUGACGAUUCAUUGUCACAAUGGUAGGGAUUAACUGAGUUGGUCUUACUACACCACCCUCUAGAGAGCCCUGCGGUUGUAGACGGUGCAGUUGCUGUAGCAGGCGGUGAUAUAGCCCGACAGGAUAAUCUCAAUGGUGCAUCCGUAAAAAUUUGUGAGCGUCUUAGGGGCAAAGCCAAAUUUCUUCAGCCUCCUGAGGUUGAAGAGGCAUUGUUGCGCCUUCUUCACCACACUGUCUGUGUGGGCGGACCAUUUCAGAUUGUCAAUUGAAGCUUUUGACCUUCUCCACUGCCGCCCUGUCGAUGUGGAUGGAGGCGUGCUCCCUCUGCUGUCUCCUGAAGUCCCCAGUCAGCUCCUUCAUUUUGUUGAAGUUGAGGGAGAGGUCCUGGCACCACUCUACCAGGGCCCUCACCUCCUCCCAGUAGGCUGUCUCGUCAUUGUUGGUAAUCAGGCCUACCACUGUUGUGUUGUCUGCAAACAUGAUGGAGUUGGAUGGAGGUGUACGUGGCCAUGCAGUCAUGGGUGAACAGUGAGUUCAGGAGGGGGCUGAGCAUGCACCCUUGUGGGGCCCCUGUGUUGAGGAUAUGCUAGUGGAUGUGUUGUUGCCUACCUUCACCACCUGGGGGAUGCCCGUCAGGAAGUCCAGGACCCAGUUACACAGGGAGUUCAAACCCAGGGCCCAGAGCUUAAUGAUCAGCUUGGAGGGUACUAUGGUGUUGAAGGCUGAGCUGUAGUCAAUGAACAGCAUUCUGAUGCAGGAUUUCCUCUUGUCCAGAUGGAUAGGGCAGUCUGUAAUGCAAUGGUGAUUGCAUCAUCCGAUCUGUUGGGGUGGUAUGCAAAUUGCAGUGGGUCUAAGUGUUAGGUGAUAUGAUCCUUAACGAUGAUAUGAUCCCUCCCACUCUGUCUCCCGAAAUCUUUCUCUUUGCUCUUGUUUUCCUUAAUAGGAUGUCGGUGGGCGGAGCUGGGAGGAUCGUCAGCGCCAUGGCACACACCUGGGUUCGGGUGUGUCCCGGGAAAAAUACACCUUUUCCCCAUUCAUCGAGGAAACUCUCUCCAUGCAGACACGUUGUUAGAUUUUGGUUGUGGCCGUUUUGUUUGUUUGCUUUGGCACCUUUCAACACCCCUCAUUAUCACAUUUAUGCACGCAACCAUUCACUUACACUACUGAUUACACACACCAUUGUUAAUUGUAUUUACGUUACUUCAGUAAAUAAAUAUAUUUUUGUUAUUCCUUAUCGCCA